CUCGUAGGCGGUUCGGCAAGUCGGAUGUGAAAUCUCCACGCUUAACGUGGAGGGGCCAUUCGAAACUGCCGUGACUCGAGUCCGGUAGGGGAGGUGCGGAAUUCCCGGUGUAGCGGUGAAAUGCGCAGAUAUCGGGAGGAACACCAGUGGCGAAGGCGGCACUCUGGGCCGGAACUGACGCUGAGGAGCAAAAGCGUGGGGAGCGAACA
rnacentral:rRNA from 1 species